rnacentral:rRNA from 1 species
AGUGAACGCUGGCGGUAGGCCUAACACAUGCAAGUCGAACGGCAGCACAGUAAGAGCUUGCUCUUACGGGUGGCGAGUGGCGGACGGGUGAGGAAUACAUCGGAAUCUACUUUUUCGUGGGGGAUAACGUAGGGAAACUUACGCUAAUACCGCAUACGACCUACGGGUGAAAGCAGGGGAUCUUCGCACCUUGCGCGAUUGAUUGAGCCGAUGUCGGAUUAGCUAGUUGGCGGGGUAAAGGCCCACCAAGGCGACGAUCCGUAGCUGGUCUGAGAGGAUGAUCAGCCACACUGGAACUGAGACACGGUCCAGACUCCUACGGGAGGCAGCAGUAGGGAAUAUUGGACAAUGGGCGCAAGCCUGAUCCAGCCAUGCCGCGUGGGUGAAGAAGGCCUUCGGGUUGUAAAGCCCUUUUGUUGGGAAAGAAAAGCAGCAGGUUAAUACCCCGCUGUUCUGACGGUACCCAAAGAGUAAGCACCGGCUAACUUCGUG